AACAACAAUAGUCUUCAAAAACUCUUCCAUUAAUGUACAAAAGAUUGUUGCAUAUUUAACCCAAACAUAAACCCCCUAAAAUCCAAUCCCUUAAGCCUUCUUUGGUGACUUUUUGGCCUUUGGUGUCGAAGCCUUCUCCUCGGAAGCAGUAGAUUUCUUGGGCAACAGAACUGGGUUAAUGUUGGGGAGAACACCUCCACUUGCAAUAGUAACACCAGCCAACAACUUUCCCAGCUCUUCAUCAUUCCUCACUGCCAACAGCAAAUGCCUUGGAAUAAUCCUCGUCUUCUUAUUGUCCCUCGCCGCAUUUCCAGCCAACUCCAACACCUAUGAACCCAAAAUAGCAAAAACAUUAGUUAAAAAGUUACAGAUCUGAGAAGAAAAUCAAAUGGGGUUUUUAGUUUAUGUAUUUCUAGUACCUCAGCAGCAAGGUAUUCAAGAACAACUGCGAGAUAAAUAGGAGCACCAGAUCCAACACGCUGAGCAUAACGACCCUUCUUCAAGUAACGAGCAAUACGACCAACUGGAAACUGAAGACCAGCUUUCACUGACCUAGCUACAGCCUUCUUCUUUGAGCCACCCUUCCUUCCUCCGGCACCUUUGGGUGUCGUAGUAGCAUCCAUUUCUGUCAACAACUAAAUGUUUUGAAGAGAAAAAUAGAGAAUAAGCUUUGAGUGGUUUUUGCCUUUGAGAUUUGAAAGCUGACGAAGAAAAUGGAACGGUGGAGUUUGACAUUUAUAGGAUAGAGAUGGAUUGCCACGCUGGCGAUCCGUGUGAGUGGUAUUGUUAUUUCACGGUGCGGAUUUGUUGUUUUAAUGUAAGAUCGGACGGGUACCAAAAGCUUCAGAUUUUUGUAAUUUUGACGCCAAUAUACUUGGGACUGAAUUUUUUUGGAGACACUACAAUUUGUUGAUUACAUUUCAUUUUAUAUGGUGAUUAAAAAAUUAUAAAUUAAAUAAUAAAUUUUAUCAUUUUAUAUUUUACUCAUAUUAAUUACUUCAACAACAUAUUCAAUGUUUUCCCAUAUAGUGGGAUCUGGGAGGGCAGAGUGUACGCAGAUCAUACCAUUUCCUUAGAUAAAAUAGAGAGGCCGUUUCCGAUAGACUCCCGGUUUAGGACCGAUAACAGUAUAACAAACAUCAAACAUAAAUACAUAUAAAUUAGUACAGUUUGUAAAAUAAACUAACGGCACUAGCCAUAAGAUAAUAUUACAACCACAGGAUAAUACUAAAAACUAUCUAUUCGAAAUCAUAGAUAUCACUCAAUACCAUGAACAAAAAAUUUCAGACACAAAUAAAGAACACUCCCCUACUUUUACCGACGCACUCCCACCCCCUAACUCUCUACCCCAAUUUGUGUUCUCCACAUCUUCCUAUCAAGGGUCAUAUACUUUGUAAAAUAUAACUGCUCCAUAUCAUACCUAAUCACCUCCCUCCAAUAUUUCUUCUAUCUACCUCUGUCCUGCCUAAAAUCAUCCAUAGCCAGUGUCUCACACCUCUGUACUAGAGCAUCAAAGCCCAUCUUCAUCACAUGCACGAACCAACGUAACCUUACUUCCGCAUCUUGUCUUCCACCGAGGUCACUCCCACCUUCUCCUGAAUAAUCUCAUUUCUUGCCCUAUCUUUCCUAGUUUCACCACACAUUUAUCGUAACAUCCUCAUCUCCGCCACCUUCAACUUUAGGAUAUGGAAGUUCUUAACUGGUCAACACUCCGUUCCAUACAAUAUAAACGGUCGGACUGUCACUCUCUAAAACUUUCCUUUAAUUUUCGGGGGCACCUUCCUAUCACAUAAAACUUUUGAAGCGAGCCUCUAUUUCAACCACUCAGCCCCAAUACGAUGCAUGACAUCCUUGUCAAUCUCAACAUUACCCUGAAUCAUAGACCUCAAAUACUUGAAACUCUCCUUCUUCUGAAUGGGCUAAGAGUUCAACUUCACAACCACGUCAGCCUCUUGUGACACAUCACUAGACUUACACUCCAAGUACUCUGUCUUGGUCUUGUUUAACCGAAAUCCUUUAGACUCAAAGGUCUGUCUCCAAAUCAUCAACUUAUCAUUAAUUUCUUCCCGAGUCUCGUUAAUCAAUACCACACUAUCAGCAAAUAACAUACACCAAGGCACCUCCCCUUUAAUAUGUCGCGUCAAAAUUUUCAUCACCAUAGCAAAUAAAAAGGGGUAAGAGUCGAUCCCUGAUGCAACCCUGUCAAAAUCGAAAAGUGCUCUGAAUCUCACCUACCGUCCUUACCCGAGUCUUUGCGCCUUCAUACAUAUCCUGAAUCGAUCCAGUGUAUGCCACAAGUACCCCUUUAACCUCCAAGCACCUCCACAGAAUCUCCCUGGGAAUUUUGUCAUAAGCCUUUCCAAGAUCAAUAAACAUCAUGUGCAAGUCCUUCUUCCUCUCCCGAAACUGCUCCACUAAUCUCCUCACAAGAUGAAUGGCCUCAGUAGUCUAGUAACCUGGCAUGAAACCAAAUUGGUUUUCAGAGAUAGUCACGCUCCUUCUCAACCUCAACUCUACCAUCUUUUCUCAAACCUUCAUAAUAUUACUCAACAACUUAAUACCUCUAUAGUUGUUGUAACUCUGAAUGUCUCUUUUGUUCUUAUAUAAUGGAAUCAUUGUACUCUACCUCCAUGCUUCAAGCAUCUUCACCGCCCUAAAAAUGAUGUUAAACAACCCUGGUAACCACUCCAAACCUGCCCCUCUAGUGUUCUUCCAAAAAUCCACUAGAAUCUCGUCUGGCCCUAUUGCUCUACCCCGACGUAUCUUGCGAAUAAACCCCUUGACCUCCUCAACCUCGAUACUCCUACAAUAACCAUAGUCGCAACACUCCUCAGAUUUCUCCAAGUCCCCCGACACGAAACCUUUGUCCCCCUUAUCGUUCAAAAGUUUAUGAAAGUAAGACUGUCACAUCUUCCUAAUGAGGGCAUCCUCAACUAACAUAGUACCAUCCACGCCCUUGAUGCACCUCUCUUUGUCAAAGUCACGAGCCCUUCGCUCCCUAGCCUUGGCAAGCCUAUACAAUUUUUUAUAUUAUAAUUGUUCAUAUUUAAUAUAUAUUAUUAAUUAUAGGGGUAAAUAUAAACAAAUUAACUAAUUUUGUCCUGAUUUAGGAAGUAAUCAACUACUCCCUCUGUUUCAUAUUAUGUGGUCCUUAUAAACUUGACACACCCAUUAAGAAAUCAAUAAAUAGAGAUUUGUUUUAUAUAUCUACCCUUAUAUGCCUUUUAAAGUGCAAUAGCUAAUGCAACAAUUAAAUAAUGAAAUUUGAACAUAUUACUCCAUCCUAUGCAUUACGCCUAGAACGUUGAAUAUUUAUAAUUGAAACUAGUAAUAAUCAUUUAAUGGGCGUUUGGUCAUGAAAAUUAAAACUUUUGAAGUUAAAUUUAGAGUUGAAGUUGGAAUUGAAGUUGGAGUUGCAAUUGUGUUUUUCAUGAAUAUAGUUGGAGUUGUUUUUGAAUUUUGUUGAGAGAGGGAUAUGGAAAAAAAUGAAAACAACUUUUUCUUGUUUUCCACUUUUUCAAAUCCAACUCAAGUUGUGUUUGAAAUUUUCAUGGCCAAACAUCAACUUGGAGUUGGAUUUGACAUAAAGUGAAUUUUUAUUUUUAUUUUUGAAAAAGUGAAAAAAUAUAAUGGUCAAACAGGCCCUUAAUUUUGGUUUGAGAAUUAAGAUCACUUAUGCACCAUUCAAUAAUUUUGAAAACUUUGAAUGUAUUUAAUACUCCUACCAAGUUAAGAAAGCCAACUAAUAUAAAUUGGAGUGAGUAAUAUGGGACAUUUAUUUUUGGCAGAAUACAUCGACACACCUCUUAACUUGACAUUAUUUUUUACUUUGGCACUUCAACUGAGUGGUGUCCAUUUUUAACACCUUAAGUAGUCAUCAACUGUGUCACUUUGACACAUUUUGCUGAUUUGACACAUCGUGUAUAUUGCACACACUUUGAGCGCGUGAAUAGCUUAAAAACUAUACUAAUUUUUAGUUUUCUUCUUCUUCUUUCUUUUGAUCUUCUUCAACACUUUUCUCCAUUUUUAUUCACCAACCACUCAACCCAACCACGAUUUCUUCCUUAAUGAUAGUCAAAAAUGGAGAAAAAUUAAUCUACCAUCACCUUCUUCUUUCAAUUUCUAUAAAUUCAUAAUUUUCAAUCUCUCAUUUUAGCUCAAUUUCUGCCUCAAUUUUAAGUUCAUUUAAUGAUGAAAAGUUUUGAAAUAGAGUUAGAGUUAACAUGAAAGAAUGAAUAGUGUCAAAUGCAAUUAGAUUGUGAAAAUUUCCACCAAUUUGAAAUCUCAAUAAAUUUUUAACAAUUUUUUUGGUGAUGAAUUCUUAACAGUUUUUUCUUUUUUCAAAAGAUGAUUGUGUAGUAGGAGGUAAUUGAAGAGAAGGUUUUAGAUGUGGGGAUGGGUAGGCAGAGGAGGUGAAACGGUGGUAGUAAUUGGAGAAGACUACCAAGGGGUAGGGAAGUGGGUGGGGUGGGGGUGGGGGUGGAUGAGGUGGAGAAGACAAAUUUGGUGAGGGUGGGGUAAUUAUAAUCUAUUUUUUUAUAAUUAUUUGGGUUAAAAAGUGUCAAGUGUCAAUAUUUAAUUGAAAUUUUUUUAUUUUAAUUAAAAUUAGUUGUUUAAAAAUUAAGUUGGAGAGAAAUGACAAAUGUCCGCAUUUUAUUCGUCAAUUUUAAUGUCAUUAGCGCAAAUAGCACACAUGUGGAGUAUUUUUUUGCUGGUUAUGAAAAAAGUGCUGAAAUGACACACUUGAGACUGCUUUAGUUGCUAAAAAUGUGCACCGUCCCCUUGAAGUGCCAAAGUGAAAGAUGGUGUCAAGUUAAGGGGCCUGCCGAUGUAUUCCGCAUUUAUUUUUAGUAAGAUGAUUAACUAAAAUGGGACGAAGGGAAUAGCAUAUAUGCUAAAAAAUUUAUCUCAAAAUUGUUGCUAAAACAUUGUUUCAAUAUAGUUAGAUUGUUUUAAAGAUCAACAGAUAAUUAACUAUUUCCCCCGUCUUAUAUUAGUUGUUGGCUAUUUUCUUUUAGUGGCGGAUCCAAGAUUUAAGGAUAGUGGGUACUUUUAAAAACUGAAAAAGUAAAAAACCAACUCAAUGAGGUUUGAAUCCGAGGCCUCCUUCCAAUGGGUGCUUUCAUAUGGUUUAUACCUAUUUUCAUAUAUUUUCUAUGUAAUUAUACUUAUUCCAUAUCGAGUUUAGUGGUGCUGCAGCACCCCCAAAAUCCUACAUAGGUCCGCCCCUGUUUUCUUUUUUAUACGCUUAUUAAGAAAUGAUAAAUAAAUAAAUUAAAAAGGCAUUUUUUACCAAUUCACCUUAAAAAACUUUUUAAAAACUUUACAAGUAAGUGUGAACACUUUAAAAAAAAAAAAAAUUGUUAGGAUAAUAUGAAAAAAUUUAAUUAAUGUUUUGUUGAUUUAGAAUCAUGGACAACUAAUAUACAACAACCAUUUUAGUAAUAUGAUCAACUAAUAUAGGACAAUUAUUUUAGUAAGAUGACCAAUUAAUAUGGAACAAAGAGAGUAUUUUUUGUUCAACUAUACCCUUAGAAAUUAAUUUUUAGAUUAAUUGAACAAGAUUCAAGUAAUCAAGAUUAAACAGAUAAUAUAGUCAUAUUACUCAAUCUAAAUCCCUUAUUAAUUUUUCUUAAGAGUUGUUCAAAUCUAUACAUGCCAACUAUCUUGAGACGAGAAGAGUAGUUGGAGAUUUUUGUCAAUAUACUUCGUGGACUCUGGUGUUUUGCCAUGCAGAUGUUCUACCAAAGUAUUUCAGCACUGAAUGGUUUUUGGACUGUGGCGCAGUCCCGCUUGCAAGAAGGUCUGCAGCACAUUGUGGCCUUUGGUCACCAAAAGAGUACGGUUGUGAUUCUUGGCAUGGAUGGCAGGUAAUUUUGUUAACAUAAGUACCUUUGGGAAGAAUCCUGGUGCGAGUGUGUCGCUUUGUAGUCUUUGUUUCUUUUUUCCAACAUUGUCCCAACUUUCGUGACAAGUGAAUUACAUCUUUGGAAUUGAACUACUAAUGCUUUGGUGCAUUGGAAAUGCAGUUUCUACCGAUGCCUGUUUGGUGCAGCAACUGGUGGGGAGAUGACCCUGUUCGAAUAUCAAUCUUGUUGCGUGCAUGUAACAGUUCCUUUUUCUAUUCACUGCCCUACUUCUGUGGCUUUUGUUUUUGCUGUAUCUAUUUAUGAAUUUGCAGGGGAACAUGGUAGUGACUGUAAAUAUGCUGGCUGUAUAGGUUGUUGGGUUCAUAGAAGUGUGAAUGAGAAAUAGAGAAGAAAUGGUGGAGGAAAAGGAGACACCAAAAUUGGAAAGUGUACUCCUAAUUUGGAAAGCUUACUCUUUCUCGCACAUUGGUGGAAGAAGAGAAUUUUUUAGUGCUUAUAUUGUGAAACACUUACUCCACAUGGUAAGUGAGGCAAGGAAAUAGAGAUGCCUCGCACCGUCGUCGCUCGCUUGGAUUUGAAUUUGGCAAAUGAUCGAUCGAUGAGAUCUAUCUUUUUGGAUAAAUUUUAUUUGACAAAAUCUGAACAAUGAUGAAAAACGCAGGAAAAUAUUUCUGAGUUUUAAUCCUUCAUUUACAUGCAGUAACAGUGACGCGAUGCUACUAUUUUAUGUGAACAGCAACACAGAACAGUUGCACUGCUUCGGAAAUGUUGCAUUGCUUCAGAACUGGUGCACUGUUUUAUGUUACUUAUUGCAUUGCUUCAGAACUGGUGCACUGUUUUAUGUUACUUAACUGAAAUGAUGCACUGGUUGAAUAAACAGAUGCAACCAUUCAGCAAAAGACACACUGAUUCAUCGAAAGAUAUAACUGUUCAGGAAAGGAUGCAAUCUUUGAUAAACAGACAUGAAUUUACAGCAAAGGUGCAACCUUUGGAGUGAACCAUUGCCUCCUUUCUAAAGCGGCAUCUUGUGGCUAUAAAUAACCUGGUUUUUAUCCACAGGUUAGAGAUAGAAAAUACAGAAAUUUUUAGAUUACAAAACAUUCUUAUUGUCUUAAAAAAUACUCCAAGUGUGAUCAUUCAAACCGUGAUUGUGUUCGAAGAAUCCGCCUAUUUAAGGUACCGCUAUAAUCGGAUUUAAGGUCAUUUUAUCCUGGAAGGAAGAUUCCAUAACCUCGGGUACAGUGAGGAGUAUUAAUCCUUAAGGAAAGUCCGUGAACUCGGACGAUUUGGCCUUAAUCAUUUCUGUUUCAUCUUUAUUUUCUGAAAAAUAAAUACACCUCUUGGAAAGGUCUUUUUGAUCUUGUGUUGAGGGUGUUUAAUACUUCAUUGUGUUCUUGUUCAUACUUGAACUCAAGUUGAAGUUGUUGUUCUGUGAUACAGAUUCUACAUACUCGUAUUGUGGAAAAUAACAUAGGUUACUGCUGUGUAUAAUGCCAGAUAACAAAAUCGCUAUGGACGUGUCUGUCAUCUUAGUGCUUGAAGUAUCUACUUAGUUUUGCUUGGGAACUAAACAAGUUGCUGCUUAAAGCCUGUCAAUUAUAUAAAGUUUUCAAUUUUAUACGUCUCAACUAUAGUCAACCUUCAGUCUUUCUAGUCCACAAUCCUGGAGAAAAGAUGCAAGCACUAAAAUAAAUGAACAAAUAGGAAAACUUUACAUUUUAGCUGGUCCGCAAGGUGCUCUAUACCACCAAAAGGCAUCUCAUGAAAUUCAAUGACGAUGUCGCUGGAAUAGUUCAACAAGAACCCCCUGUCUCCACACAAAGGAUUUACUCCUACAGACAAACGAACUGAAGGAGAGCUACUAAGGGGACUAUGUCUUAGCAUAUUUAUUUCAUUAAUCUGUACUCUAAAUAGCACAUCUACAGCAAAACAAAGGUAUUGCUGGCACUAAAUUGAAACACUAGACGUUCUGUGCUACAUACUUGCACAUUUCCAUAUCAGAUACAAAGAAGCAUAUGAAUCCCAUUUUAUAUAGGUAGUAAAUGGUAUUCCUCAUCUAAUAUGUAUGUAAAGCUACUUACAUCGUUCCUCAUAUUAAGAGUGAAAUGGCAUCUAAUUUUGAAGAUAAAGAAAAGGAUAAAAAAAAAUUGAAAAAAACAUUGAUUUUGCUCAUGAAUGGUUUGGUGUGAAAGCAAAAGAGAUGUUUCCACAGUUGCAUUGGAAGUGAAAUCUUUUCCAGAUGAGGAAAAAGAUAAACUUGCACCCUCUCCAUAAUGCUGUGAUAAAUCAAGAGAAAGUGCACACUUCCUUUAUCUUAAUUGAAACACAUUCAUGUUAAGAAAAGAUGGACCCAACACUGUAAUCAAAUGAGAUUGUGGCUGCACGAAAUGAGAAGUUCUUUCUAGUCAUUUCCCGUAAGAAAGUUUUACUAAAUUUGUAGCCUUUGAGAAAUCAAUGCACAAUAAUAUUGUAAGUUGUGUUGUCUGACAAGCAAACAUUUGUCACCAUUUCUUUUAGCAUAUCUGCAUACGCAUAGUUGUGCACCAGUCAGGGACUCCAGUACCAAAGGAGACUGGAAGGAAACAUCAAUAUGACCAUCUGCUCAUAUACUCAAAACACUACAAUGCCUAAGCCAAUCCCAGGAUGCAGCUUGCUUGAUGUGCCUUAUUUUGCAGCUGGAAGUGGACUCACUAGAUUUCAUCUUUACAGUUACAAAAUCAGAACAUAAUCAAAACAGACCAUAGUACCCACAAACACAAGGCAAACUUUCAAAACUUACUGCAAUAAUCAACCAACAGACGUCAAAUUUCAAAGAUUGGCACAUUCAUAUGUGAAAGAGAACAAGGAUAGUCACAAGCAUGUGAAUUGAUUGAGAGCCAGCGGUAUAAUUCUUCAAAUACUACUAGUUACUACAAAAACAAUCAGCAUACAAACAAGUUAACAUACUCCUUCACACCUAUGGAAAGUACCGCAACAAAAUUAUACAAUGAAAGAGCAAUUCCUCGAGAGUUAUCCUGCAGUCUUCAAAAACUAUACAAUUAUUGUAUCCUUCACACCUAUGGAAAGUACCGCAACAAAACUAUACAAUGAAAGAGCAAUUCCUCAAGGUUUAUCCUGCAGUCUUCAAAAACUAUACAAUUAUUGUACUAAAUGAAACAACAAAUCCACAUGUUCAAAAUGCUGUGAUAAAUCAAGAGAAAGUGCACACUUCCUUUAUCUUAAUUGAAACACAUUCAUGUUAAGAAAAGAUGGACCCAACACUGUAAUCAAAUGAGAUUGUGGCUGCACGAAAUGAGAAGUUCUUUCUAGUCAUUUCCCGUAAGAAAGUUUUACUAAAUUUGUAGCCUUUGAGAAAUCAAUGCACAAUAAUAUUGUAAGUUGUGUUGUCUGACAAGCAAACAUUUGUCACCAUUUCUUUUAGCAUAUCUGCAUACGCAUAGUUGUGCACCAGUCAGGGACUCCAGUACCAAAGGAGACUGGAAGGAAACAUCAAUAUGACCAUCUGCUCAUAUACUCAAAACACUACAAUGCCUAAGCCAAUCCCAGGAUGCAGCUUGCUUGAUGUGCCUUAUUUUGCAGCUGGAAGUGGACUCACUAGAUUUCAUCUUUACAGUUACAAAAUCAGAACAUAAUCAAAACAGACCAUAGUACCCACAAACACAAGGCAAACUUUCAAAACUUACUGCAAUAAUCAACCAACAGACGUCAAAUUUCAAAGAUUGGCACAUUCAUAUGUGAAAGAGAACAAGGAUAGUCACAAGCAUGUGAAUUGAUUGAGAGCCAGCGGUAUAAUUCUUCAAAUACUACUAGUUACUACAAAAACAAUCAGCAUACAAACAAGUUAACAUACUCCUUCACACCUAUGGAAAGUACCGCAACAAAACUAUACAAUGAAAGAGCAAUUCCUUGAGGUUUAUCCUGCAGUCUUCAAAAACUAUACAAUUAUUGUAUCCUUCACACCUAUGGAAAGUACCGCAACAAAACUAUACAAUGAAAGAGCAAUUCCUCGAGGUUUAUCCUGCAGUCUUCAAAAACUAUACAAUUAUUGUACUAAAUGAAACAGCAAACCCACAUGUUCAAAAUCAACCAACAGACGUCAAAUUUCAAAGAUUGGCACAUUCAUAUGUGAAAGAGAACAAGGAUAGUCACAAGCAUGUGAAUUGAUUGAGAGCCAGCGGUAUAAUUCUUCAAAUACUACUAGUUACUACAAAAACAAUCAGCAUACAAACAAGUUAACAUACUCCUUCACACCUAUGGAAAGUACCGCAACAAAACUAUACAAUGAAAGAGCAAUUCCUCGAGAGUUAUCCUGCAGUCUUCAAAAACUAUACAAUUAUUGUACUAAAUGAAACAGCAAACCCACAUGUUCAAAAUCAACCAACAGACGUCAAAUUUCAAAGAUUGGCACAUUCAUAUGUGAAAGAGAACAAGGAUAGUCACAAGCAUGUGAAUUGAUUGAGAGCCAGCGGUAUAAUUCUUCAAAUACUACUAGUUACUACAAAAACAAUCAGCAUACAAACAAGUUAACAUACUCCUUCACACCUAUGGAAAGUACCGCAACAAAACUAUACAAUGAAAGAGCAAUUCCUCGAGAGUUAUCCUGCAGUCUUCAAAAACUAUACAAUUAUUGUAUCCUUCACACCUAUGGAAAGUACCGCAACAAAACUAUACAAUGAAAGAGCAAUUCCUCGAGGUUUAUCCUGCAGUCUUCAAAAACUAUACAAUUAUUGUAUCCUUCACACCUAUGGAAAGUACCGCAACAAAACUAUACAAUGAAAGAGCAAUUCCUCGAGGUUUAUCCUGCAGUCUUCAAAAACUAUACAAUUAUUGUAUCCUUCACACCUAUGGAAAGUACCGCAACAAAACUAUACAAUGAAAGAGCAAUUCCUCGAGGUUUAUCCUGCAGUCUUCAAAAACUAUACAAUUAUUGUAUCCUUCACACCUAUGGAAAGUACCGCAACAAAACUAUACAAUGAAAGAGCAAUUCCUCGAGGUUUAUCCUGCAGUCUUCAAAAACUAUACAAUUAUUGUACUAAAUGAAACAGCAAACCCACAUGUUCAAAAUCAACCAACAGACGUCAAAUUUCAAAGAUUGGCACAUUCAUAUGUGAAAGAGAACAAGGAUAGUCACAAGCAUGUGAAUUGAUUGAGAGCCAGCGGUAUAAUUCUUCAAAUACUACUAGUUACUACCAAAAAAUAAAUAAAAUAAAAAUAAAAAUAAAAACAAACAGCCUACUUCACCAAAAACUAAAUAAGGCACACAAGUCAGCUUUCUAUAACAUAAGACAGGAAAUAAUUACUUAGAGCCUGCAAGGGAUUUCAGUUAACAACACUACCGGACCACUGAAUUUAUAUAAACAACUUAAAUCAAGAAAACCAACAAUAUUUGCACAAGUUAUCCUAUUAGCAUCUGUCACGGUUCCAAGUUCAAUCUUCUUCCAUCUAUAACACCCAAAAAGCUGCAGAAGAAACUAAUAUUUAUGCCAAAGUUUAUAAGCUAUCAUAAGUUCAAAAGCAUACCCACUGAAACAAACUUGUUACCAAAACCAACAGCUGAAAAACUAAAAGAAACAUGCCCUGAUCUAUACUUUACAACAAUUACCAAAAUUUGAGAAUACUUGAUGAAUGCAAUACAUUUUAAAGUGGUGCCAAUUACACAAAAUAAUCUCACAGCUUUUUUACUUAUCAAAUUGAGAUAAUAAGAUAAGACAAUGAAUAACCCAAGAGGCCAAAUUUAGACAAUAAGAUUAGAAAAUGAGAUACUUUCUAUGAUAUUUCCAAGCACAUUACACCAAGGUUAUCAAAACAUAACAGAAACCUACAUCCUACUGCUAGAAAUUCCCAUAAAACUAGACAAAAGAUUACUGCAUAUUUAACCCAUACAUAAAACUGCCAAAUCUAUUAGGCCUUCUUUGGUGACUUGGUGGCUCUGGGCGUCGAUGCUUUCUCCUCGGAAGCAGUAGAUUUCUUAGGCAACAGAACUGGGUUAAUGUUGGGGAGAACACCUCCACUUGCAAUGGUAACCCCAGCCAACAAUUUUCCCAGCUCUUCAUCAUUCCUCACUGCCAACAGCAAAUGCCUUGGAAUAAUCCUCGUUUUCUUGUUGUCUCUUGCUGCAUUUCCAGCCAACUCCAACACCUAUUAAAUAAAAUGAAUAGAUUAUUAUAAAAAUCAAUAGAAAAUUACAGAUCUGAGAUAAUUUAUUGGGUUUAUUAUACCUCAGCAGCGAGGUAUUCAAGAACAGCAGCGAGGUAAAUAGGAGCACCAGAUCCAACACGCUGAGCAUAACGACCUUUCUUCAAGAAACGAGCAAUACGACCAACUGGGAACUGAAGACCAGCUUUCACAGACUUAGUUACAGCCUUCUUCCUUGGGCCACCCUUCCUUCCUGCUGCACCUUUGGUUUGCUUAGCAGCAUCCAUUUCGACAAACAAACAAUAAGAUUUGAAGAGAGAAAAUUGCUUCUAGUGAUUUCCGCUUUGAGAAUUGAAUGCUGAUGAAGAAAAUGAAACGGUGGAGUUUGGUAUUUAUAGGAUAGAGAUGGAUUGCCACGCUGGCGAUCCGCGUGAGUGGUAUUGUUCUUUGACGGUGUGGAUUUGUUGUUUUCAUGUUAGAUCGUACGGUUAGGAAAAGCUUAAAAGAUGGCGAUCCGUGGUUAAGGGAAACAGCGAAUGAUUUUGUGACACGCGUAUAUGUUUGGUGAAUUGCAGUAAGAGGUGAAUCGUGCGCGGGGAAUUUGAAUUUUACUAAAUUUAUUUUUUGCGCCUAUUUGUGAAAACUUUCUUAGCAAGAGAAAUAAAUGGGAUAAUUAUUUUUAUUCCUAAUUAAGUGCUAUUUAUAAUUUACCCGUCAAUCUCAAUAUCUCAUAUACAGUCAUUAACGAUUUUGCUCUUGGUUAUUAAAGACCCUAGCUCCUAAACUUUAUUAAUACUAUAACUAAAUUGUGAUUUUGACACCCAUCAACAUAAAAUUUGCAUGAAUAUAAAAUGAUCCUACUCACUAGUUUUUUUCCAUUUUUUAACUAAAUAAAAUUCUUACAAAAUAGCCAAGUAAAUCUUUUUUUAUGUUGAUAAGAAUUAGAGCAUAAAAGGGAUUUUGUCUAAUUUGGAUGCUUAUUUAGGAGGUGUCAAAAAGACUUAUCAGUAAUUUGAGAUCUUAAUAAAAUGAUUAUAUAAUUUAUUCAAUAUUAGGUAUAAAUAUAAAUCAAUGUUAUUAAACCUUACAGGGAGAAUUCAGAUAACUUAAGCAUUUCAUAAAGGCAUAAUAUU
rnacentral:lncRNA from 1 species